UGGAAACCAUUCAAUUUUUUAUUUAUUCAUUUUUUUAUUUUAUUUUUUUGAUAUAGGUAGCCCUUUAUUAUAUACUGGAAUACCAUUCAAUUGGUCCAUCAAUAUAAAUCACCAUUUCGAUCCCCUACACAGUAAACAUUUACAUCGCUGACUCCUAAACCAUGAACACAGAACACCUAGCGAGAGAGACAUUGGGAUAUGAACAUUGUUUUGAAAAAAAUUGUGGUCCGCUAAAGGUAAAAAGCAGGAUCUUGAAGAGCUCAAGAGAGAGUGGCAAUAUCAACCUCGUGUGGGAAUUUGAAUGUAUCUGCUGCUCCAAAUUUUCUCUUCUCUUCCCAAUCUUCACUAGACUCUUCUUCAGAACUAUCAUCAUGUCCAUCAUGUUGACUACGAGGAGUCAUGGGAUCAUAAACACUUUUAGAGCGGGAAUCUUUUGUUGCAAGCAUGUUGACUUGACCAAGGUGAGAAAUCUCUACAACAACAGUAUCAUCGUCAACAGGAAGUGGUUGUUUCCAAGGUUCCCCAUCAAUCCUCAUAAAAGUAUGGUCUGCCGCACCCUUGUUAAACUCAAACCGAAUGCCAUGUGCCUAGAUAAGAGUAAUAGCAGUUGUCAGAUGUCAUGGGUGGAGUAUGUUAAAAUGCUUUGAAAAUAAUAGUUGCUAAUCAUAAUGAAAGAAAAUAAUUUCUCCCAAACAUGAGGUUUAGUGGUGGAAGACAGCAGGUUCCCCUAUGCAGACAAAUAAUGAAGCUGGGUGAAUCUAUUGCUAAGUGUGUGGAUCAGACCAUGCUGUCCUCUGUGGACAUUACAAUGGAAGACCCAUGUGGGCUCUACCAUAAAUGACCUUCACUUAUGUGAUGUGCAGCAGGAUGAAGAAAUCCGUUUGAAAGUUUGGCCAUCCGGUUUUCCAUUACCACUUAAAGAUUGAAAGAAAACAAAAGGAAAGACAUUCUACUCCAACCAUAACAACAACCACCUUAACCUCCCUAACUUCUGCUGCUAAUGGAUACUGGAAAAUGAUUACCUUCUUAUGGACAUCAAGCACAAUGAGCAUUUUGAACAUAGAUUGAAUGUCUAACCUGAGCAAGGCGAGUCCCAUGUCCUUUCGGCGCGUACAAAACAAGCCCAUGCCAAGCAUCUCUAAAACCGACAACCUCGAGCAAGCCAUCAUCUACAAACGGUGCUGUCAAGUCUCUCUGUAGAUUAUAUCACCAAAGAAUUCAUAAUGUUACCAAACAAGUCUCAAGAAAAUCAGUAAUAAUAUUUAGCAUUUUCUGCUAAAAAAAAAAAAGCAAUUGGGAGCACUACUCACAUCUCGUGUUUUUCUUUUGUUUGGUGUACCCCAAGGAUUAAGUCCACCAGAAAAGCUUGGCAAGUUAAGACAGACUAUUGAGCGGACACUGAUGAAGAUAUAAAAUUAUAAAUACCUCGUUAAUCACAACCAACAAAGAAAUAAAAAGAAAAUAGAUUAAAGAACGUAAAUAGACUUUCAGAACAACACUGCCCCAGUUUUGGGCAAGUCCCCACUUUUACUAGUUGGACUUAACAUCAUGUCAUUUUAUAUGCAGGACUUUAAGGAUAGUGAUGACAAGUGUAAUGGAAAACCACAUAAGAUUCUGCUCAAAGGAAGAAACAUUCAACAUUCUGAUACUAUUCUCCGACUUUCUCUUCAUUGUAAUAGCAAGAAGAACACUUCGAAUUAGAGAAAGAGAAUAAAACUUAGUCUGUAUUGAAUUGUGUGCUUACUGGCCAGAAUAGCACUCAAUUUAUAGGUUAAGUCGUUAUCGUUCACAACAAACACAACUGUUGGUAAGCGUCUUUUCUGAACACACAUCUUUUGUAAAGCUAGUGAAAUGGGUUUUACAUCGUAGAAAGAUCGUUUCAAUUUGAAAAGAGACAUUUGUUUGGGUAGAGUUUUUAAUAUGAUCUAGUGGACCAAAAAGAUAAAAUUACUUAUCAAUCAACCAUAUAGCCCAAGCCCAAACCAAUUUAAUUAAAUUGAACCCAUUUGAAUGAAGCAUUUUCUCAACAAACACUAGAUCAAGAGAUCGAUACGGGUUUACCCAGUGGAAAAAUUGUUUCAAUUUCAACACACAUCUUUUUUAGUAUAAUUUUUUUAGUGUGAUCCAAUGAACCCAUUUACAAAUUAAUUAAAUUAUUUCUGAGCAAAAAAGAUACGGGUUUUACCCAGUGGAAAAAUUGUUUCAAUUUCAACACACAUCUUUUUUAGUAUAAUUUUUUUAGUGUGAUCCAAUGAACCCAUUUACAAAUUAAUUAAAUUAUAUCUGAACAAAAAAAAGUAAGAAUACUUAUCAAUCCAUGCCCAAACCGAACCAAACCAAACCAAGUCGGUCAGAUGAACGGCAGCAAGCAUGUGGUGGACAAUUAUUUGCAUAACCUCACGCUAAAACAAUAUAACCCCACAUAGCAACAACGCCCUUUAUUUGCAAAAGUUGUAUAUUAACUCUUUUACCCACUACUCAAUACUCAUGUGGUACUAAUUGUUUUUUAUCACCGUAACAUUCAGAAAAGGAGAAAUCUGACAAGCUUGCAUUGUUUUAGUAAAACUAUGUGAAUGUGCACGCUGUAUGCGUGCGAACAAAAAAAUAGCUAAUAAUUAAAGAAAUAAUGGACUUAUUUAUGUCUAACAAAAUAAAAGAUAAUUUUUUUUUAUUUGAAUGUUUAUUUGAGUUUAUAACUAUUAAAAAAAAAUUUGUUGGACCGCGAACGACCGCAUUCGGCCGGGCCGCGGAAUGGCGGACCACGGUUUUUUUUUUAUAUUGAUUAUUAAAAAAAAAAAACAAAAAAAAAACCAUUAUAUAAAAACUAAAUUUGUUUUAUGCGAUUUUUAGAUCCUAUUUUUAAAAUAAAAUCACCUUAUUACCCUUUUAUUAUAGUAUAUAACUCAUAAUAUUAGGGGUAAAUUUGGAAUUAUAAAAGUAAACACGUUGUUCUGUUAUAAAUGUAACACAUCAGGCUUCGCAAGCGCCUCGGGAAUGAGGCGCCUUUAUAAAGUAGUAUAGAUAACCCAUAAUCAAAGACAUAAUGGACUUUUUUGUUUUUUUUAAUGUUUAUUUAGUUUAUAACUAUUAUAUAAAAACUAAUUUUUUUCUGCAUUGUUUUUUUUUUUUUUUUUUUUCUUUUUAACAAACCCUAUAAGUUUUCUUAUAUUAGUAGGUCCCACUUUUUUAAAAUUACCUAUUACCCUUUUUAUUGUAAUAUAUAACUCAUAAUAUAGUAGGGGUAAAUUUGGAAUCUUAUAAGUAAACACGGUAUUCUGAUAUACCUUGACACAUCAGGCUUCGAAGGCGCCUCGGGGUAAGUAUAGAUGUUUGCUCGUUUAAAAAUCAGGUGGGCCCCACUUUAAAAUUAUUUUAUAGUUUUUUAAAAUCAGGUGGAUCCCACUUUAAAAUUAUCUUAUAGUAUUUUUUCUAAAAAUCAGGUGGACCCCACUCAAUAUUAUCUUACUGAAUUUUUUUUGAAAAAAUAGGCCAACUUUAAAAUUGUUUUACUGUGUUUUUUUCUUUGUUAAAAAUAAAAUUAGAAUUUGAUAAUAAAAAUAUUAAAAAUAUAUUUUAUUGGCUUCGCAAACAAACCUCGGAAAUGAGGCGCCCUUAAAGAAGUAGUAAAGAUUGUAUUGAACUAUUCAUCUUAUUUGCACGUUUUCUUUCAUCGAUCUUGUGUAAGAGCAUGAGUCCCCAAGAACAUUAAAUGGCAAUCAAAUCCAUAGAAGACAUUUUGUCUGACAUACAGUAGCUUAGUUGCUAACAUUGUACGACCUUAGGCAGAGACCACCAGGUACCAGCUGCCAUGACAGUUAUAUAAAGAUGAUAAGAAGAAAACUGCAUUUGAACGAAAAACUAGCAUCUUCAUCAUGCUGUGUUUCCAUGCACAAGUUGCCCAAAUAUCCUUUCAUAGUUUCAUUUUGCUAUAAAUGCAGCAGGAUAUCAGUUUAUGGCACAGCACAUGAGGCAUGUAUAAAAGAUGAAGUUGUCAUUAUCUAUUUAUUUAUCUGUGAUGAAGCUUGGCUGAUCUGCCUGACUUAUGGAUAUUUUGUAUUCAUAGAGCUUUGAUAUUAUGUAUUGCUCCAUGUCGUGUGUGUACUCGAAGACCAAUAAUUAUAACAUUGAAGUGUACUUUUCACAAUUUAAUAUAAAUUUAUCCGUAAAAUUUUAUAUUUCUCUUGAUAUAUAGUUGGUGGUUAAUGAGACAUAUAAUGUCGACGAUCUCAGUGAGAUAUUGCUAUUAAUUUUGUUAGUAGUUUGAGCACAAAGCUUGUAUACAGACUUACAAGUUACAAUGAAGCUUAUUUAAAGUCUAAGUACACACUAUACAUGCACAACCUCUUUAAUUUCACACAUAAUGUUGAUCUUAAGAGUUCCCGCACGCACACUGUAUCGUGCACUUCUUUUUUACACUAGUUUUCUCCUGUAAUUGCCCUUGAACUAGGCCGAAGAGGCAGAAAAAUCCCUCUUAAGAUUGUUUUGCCAGGGUGUGACCUUGAUAAACUUAUCUCUAUAAAUUCACUGUGCUACCUAGACUACAGAAUUCAUUCAAAAUAUUAAGUGCCAUUACUGUACAUCUUGUUGUGGGACACAAAAAAAUAUAUCAGGACUCUAGUACAUACAGUGAAACCUGUCUAAAUGCACACCCUAUAAACGCCAGAAAAUUUAGAAGAUGGUCCCAUAUUGUAUGUGGUCAUGAGGGCUCCAAUCACAAAUUCACAAUACACCAUGUGCUAUUAAAGUUUUGUUUAUUUACUAAAAUAUCCCUUAUGUAUGGGUGCAGUAAACCCCAGUGAGCUUGAAUUGGCCGGUAACUCAACUGACACGUGCCAUAUAUGUUUUGAUUGGUUCUUCAUGGCCAGAUACAAAAUGGGCCACAGUCUAAAUUUUUCGAACGCAUAUUAGUCCCAUCUAUAAUAGAAAUUAAAUAUNNNNNNNNNNNNNNNNNNNNNNNNNNNNNNNNNNNNNNNNNNNNNNNNNNNNNNNNNNNNNNNNNNNNNNNNNNNNNNNNNNNNNNNNNNNNNNNNNNNNAAAAAAAAAAUUUUAAUUUCAUUUGGUUAAAGUUAAUUACAAUGAAACAGAUUAUUUGGAAUGGAUAUUAAAUUGGAAAAUAUAUAUAGAUUACCUGAAUAGAUGCACUCUAUUCAUGAUUGAUGAGUGAUGACCAAUUCAAGCAGAACAACAAAAGAGAACAAAACAAAAAUAUCACUUUGAAUUUCAGCAUUUUUCUAUAUAUAACUAUAGAAUUAUAUUAAAUCAAAAAUGAUGCCAUGCAUCAGAUGAACACCAAUUAACCUUAGCUAGGAGAGAGCGAUUGAAGAUUUUGCUAUCGGCAUGUUGAGCAUUGCAUAGCCAGAUAUGUUCACCAUUCAAAAAUGCUCUUCCUGGCAACCUGAUAAACCAUCAAAGAUGUUUGUAAAACUGCAGUCUUGUGUGAAAAACUGAAAGCAUGUGUUUGAUAAUAUAAGAAAAGUGAGCCAGUUGUCCAGUACCCCUCUCCAGGUGCAAAUGCAAAAGACAUGCAAACUACAUAGUACCAUUCCACAUCUGAGAGAUCUUCAGGUGACAAAGAAGUAGUUGAAGCGAUUUUAGCUUGUUCCUUGGUCUCGCCUAGGGACAAACGCUCGUACAUUUCCCUCAAUUUCUCACUCUUCUUCAAAUCCACCUUAUCUACAUUGAAGUAACCAUCACUCCACUCCAGAACCCUAUCAUAUUUCAUUUGCAAAUAAACAAGAGAAUAUAAUUAAGUUUAGAUAAGAAAAUUAAAAGCGUACGUAUUCAUUUAAGUUACCAAAUAAAGAAUAAAUCAUAGUAUCUUUCUUUUUUUGGGGGUGCUAUUGCAUAGUGAAUCCCCACCCUAGGCCCCUAGCUAGUUAUCACAAUAGAUCGAGGUCUGCACCCCCUCUACAAAACCUUGCGGUAGUGAAUCUCCUUGUCAAGAACUUACAUGUAGGAGAGGUGGAAGUGGUGGUGCUCUUUAGGGAAUUAAAUAACUCAAUAAGAGUUUGUCGACGACUUUCUAAAAAGGAAGGUUUUCUUUUUCUAAAUUUGAUAUGUACCAAAAAAAAAAAAAAAAGAUACAUUCAAUAUUGAGGUACAAUCCCAUCAAUUUAUAUCUGUACUAAUUCAACAGGUAAGAACUUCACUUAAAAUGGGAAAAAAACAAGUUCAAAAAAGAAAACACAUCAUUAAAGAUAUAUUCAUAUGUCUAUACUCUAUAUACCCUUCUUGUUUAGUUGAUGGUGACCAAAAAAUAGCAUAACUCCACUGAAUACUUCUAACAGAUGCAGCAAGCAUCUUUCCAAGUUGGUUUCCAAGCAUAACAACCAUUAUAGAUUACUAGUUUAUUAGCAACCUAGCUAGCAAUAACUCAAAAGUAAUUGCUAGUUUGGCUGUCACAGUUUUUGUAUUAUCAUUAGAAGCAUCAAUAUAUAUAGACAGACAGAGAAACAAAACCAAUAAAAAGUUAAAAGAAAAUCUGACAUAAAUUAAUGGUAUCUGAUCAAUGAUCAACCACCUUGAAGAAGCUAGCUAGACUUAUAAGUGGUUAGAGUUGUGUGUAUCUUGAUCACAAGGGCUCUUUGUGAGGAAUCAUGUACGGUAAGUUUUAAAGUUUGAAUCUAUAGGUUUUUUUUAAAAUGACAUCUUUAGAAAAAUUAUUACAUGUUUACACGAAAAAAUAGGAACCAAUGUAUGUGAGCCUUUGCCUCAACAACACUCCACAGUACCGGUUGAUUGUUGACAGAGUUACUGCUUAGUCCUUGCUACACCUAAUUAUGUGUGACAGUGUGAGCAGUUAGCAUCAUCAAUUUAUGAGUGUGUCUUGGUUGAGUAAGACUGUUCAUUAUUUGAAGACAUGCAACACAAUGUGUGUUGGGGAUUCAGUUAUUCUUGGAAGUGUUGUACAGUAGAAACUCUUUAAAUUUAUACUCGGUAAAUUGAUAAUCUCCUUUAAAUAAUAUAAUUCUCUGGUGUUCACCUAGUAAAUACACCCCGAUAAAUAUCUAAUUUGAAAAUUAGAAUUUUCAGUUUUUCUUGUUUGUCUCAAAAAAUAAAAAUAAAAAUAAAAAUUGAAGGCAAACCGAAGAAGAAACAAGAGGAAAAAAAAGUUUCUCCAUUUUUAUUAAUCAUUUUGAGAAGUUUCUUCUAUGUUUUUCUUUUUUAAAAUCUGAUUUUUUUAGUUUAAAGAAGUAGAUACAUAAAAAAGAAUAAAGAAGAAUCUGUUUUUAAUUAAUAGGAUCGUAGGGAAGAUGGAAGAAAAUUAGGUUUUGUAUAGGGUGUAUUUACUGAAAAAAUAGGAGAGAGGUAGGGUGCAAAAACUAGGGCAUACUCAUUUUUCCCUAUUAUUAUUUGGGAUAUAACCAGUAUUAGUAAAUUUGUUUAGUGGGGCUUAAUUACCAAUUGGUGGGGCUUGAAUACCGGCUCUCUAUACACAGUAAUUUAUAGGCUUACCUAAUAUCAACCAUAUUUAAUACCCAAUAUAUAAAGAUUUUAUUCUUUAGGGUUUCCUAUGCGUUUGUGCCCUCUCUCUUUAGAUUGUUCUGAAGUCCAAAACGUCUGCUCUCUAUACAUUAACUAAAAAUGGAGCCAUGCGGAGAACCAAUCCCCAUUAGAGGCGGAGAACCAAUCCCCAUUAGAGGCAGAGACGAAGUUCCCCAAAUAGUCUCAAGCGGAGAGAAAUGGACGGGGCUAGAGACUAAGAAACUAAAUGGGGAUGGGGAUGGAGAUAGGGGUACCCGGCCUCAUACCCACCCGUUAACAUCCCUAACUAAAGAUAGAGCAAAUGAAAUAUCAAUCAAGAAUAUUUCCCCAGGGUUUAUAAUAAUUGGGUAUUUGGGUUUUAAAUGAAUUGCUGUUUCGAUUCCACAUCACAGUAAAAAUUUACAAGGCUAACUGAAUCCUAUUUCAUGAACACAAUAAACAUUAUUUCCUGGAAUUCUGGAAACCAUUCAAUUUUUUAUUUAUUCAUUUUUUUAUUUUAUUUUUUUGAUAUAGGUAGCCCUUUAUUAUAUACUGGAAUACCAUUCAAUUGGUCCAUCAAUAUAAAUCACCAUUUCGAUCCCCUACACAGUAAACAUUUACAUCGCUGACUCCUAAACCAUGAACACAGAACACCUAGCGAGAGAGACAUUGGGAUAUGAACAUUGUUUUGAAAAAAAUUGUGGUCCGCUAAAGGUAAAAAGCAGGAUCUUGAAGAGCUCAAGAGAGAGUGGCAAUAUCAACCUCGUGUGGGAAUUUGAAUGUAUCUGCUGCUCCAAAUUUUCUCUUCUCUUCCCAAUCUUCACUAGACUCUUCUUCAGAACUAUCAUCAUGUCCAUCAUGUUGACUACGAGGAGUCAUGGGAUCAUAAACACUUUUAGAGCGGGAAUCUUUUGUUGCAAGCAUGUUGACUUGACCAAG
rnacentral:lncRNA from 1 species